UCUAUGUAGAGUCAAAGUUGAUUAAUUAUAUGACUGAUUAAAUAUGAAGAAAAGGCGGAACACCUGUGGGGCUCAGCGGUUGAGCGUCUACCUUCCGCCCAGGGUGUCAUCCUGGAGUCUCAGGAUCGGGUCCCACGUCGGGCUUUCUGCAUGGAGCCUGCUUCUCUCUCUGUGUGUCUUUCAUGAAUAAAUAAAUAAAAUAUUUUUUAAAAAAAUAAAUAAAUAUGAAGAAAAGGCUCUAAAAUUACUAAGGACAUUAACAGAAAUAGGGAGUUGGGGGAGGCACUUGUUUGGGCAGAGAAAUAACCCAGUUUGGGAUAUGUUAUUUUUUCUGAGAUUUUUACAACAAAGGUAAUUUUUGUAGCCCCUGUGGAUCUAGAGUCCAGAUGUUAAGAAAGAAGCUCAUGUAGAACAUUAAUAAUUUCAUUACAUAAUAACCCAGGAACUCACCAGAAGGCAAACUGAGAAAAUGCCAUUUAGCCUCAAUUGUAAGUAGCACCCACUUAAAGAAAAUGUACUUCAAGUAAUGGCCAGACUUUCUUUUUCUCCUACCCAACUGGCAAAGAUUUUUUAAAAAAUAACUUGGUUUGGCAAACACGUAAAGAGAUGCAUACUUGUCGUAUAGGCUGGUGUCUGUAUAAGUGAUUACAGCUUCUGGAAGACAAUUUUUCUGUACGUAGCACUAAAAAGUGUCAGGCCUUUUGAGCCACCAACUCCAAUUCUACCUGAAGAAUGUAUAUAAAUAUUCUUUAUUUACUUGUUCUCCAUCAAAGUCAUAUACGUACGUGGUAUUAAAAAAAUAAAUUAUUUUAAAAGACAUAUAAGGACACUGUGCAUCCCCUUUUCCAUCUCCUACCUAUACUGCUCUUGAGAGGCCACCACUUUUAACAUCUAGCUAUUUUAUCUAUUAUUUACCUCUUUGUGUUUAGUUCAUUCAGCUAUUUCUUCCCCUUUUCCUUUUCUUUUUCUGAGUAUAAUUGACAUACAAUGUUAGUUAGUUAGCUUCAGGUGUAUAGCAUAGUGAUCCAACAAGUUUACACAUUAUGCUGCACUCACCACAAGUGUAGCUACCAUCUGUCACCAAACUAUUACAAUAUCAUUGACUAUAUUCCCUAUAUUGAGCCUUUUAUUUCUGUGGCUUGUUCAUUCCAGAGAUUAUAACUGGAAGCUUGUGUCUCCCACUUCCCUCCCCCAUUUUGCCCAUCCCCCCCACCCCUCUCCUCAAGUAACUGCCAGUUUGUUCUCUGUAUUUAUAGGUCUGAUUCUGCUUUUGUUUAUUCCUUUGUUCUUUUUAGAUUCCAUUUAUGAAUGAAAUCACAUGGUAUUUGUCUUUCUCAGUAUGACCUAGUUCACUUAGCAUAAGACCCUGUAGGGCCAUCCCAGGUUGUCCCAAAUGGCACAAUCUCAUCCUUUUAAAGGCUACAUAAUGUUCCAUUGUGGUGAGGGUGUGUGUGUGUGUGUGUGUGUGUGUGUACACAUAUAUAUAUAUAAUCUCACAUUUUCCUCAUCCGUUUAUUCAAUGGACACUUAGGUUGCUUCCAUAUCUUGGCUACCGUAAAUACGUCUACAGUAAACAUAGGGGUGCAUAUAUCUUUCCAAAUUAGUGUUUUUAUUUCCUUUGGAUAAAUACCAAAGGAAUGGUAUUAUUGGAUUGUAUGGUAUUUCUAUGUUUAAUUUUUUUCAGGAAACUCCAUACUCUUUUCCACAAGACUGUACCAAUUUACAUUCCCACCAAUAGUGCCCGGGGGUUCUUUUUUCUCCACAUGCUCACCAACACCUGUUGUUUCUUGUGUUUUUAAUUUUAGCCAUUCUGACAGGUGUAAGGUAAUAUCCCUCUUGUGGUUUUUGCAUUUCCUUGCGUUUCCCUAACAACUAGUGCUGUUGAGCAUCUUUUCACGUGUCUGUUGGCCAUCUGUAUGUCUUCUUUGGAAAAAUGUCUGUUCAGGUCAUCUGUCUCCUCUUUAUUGGAUUGUUUGUUUUUUCGGUGUUGCGAUAUAGAAGUUUUUUAUGUAUUUUAGACAUUAACCCCAUAUAAGAUAUAUCCCUCACAAAUAUCUUCUCCCAUUCAGAAGGUGGCCUUUUUGUUUUAUAGAUGGUUUCCUUUGCUGUGCAAACGCAUUUUAUUUUGAUGUGGUCUCACUAGUUUGCUUUUGCUUCCCUCGCCUUAGGAGACAUAUCUAGAAAAAUGUCAGUACGGCCAGUGUCAGAGAAAUUAUUGCCUGUGUUCUCUCCUAGAAUUUUUAUGAUUUCAGGUCUCUCAUUUAGGUCUUUGUCGUUCAGCUAUUUUUUGAUCUAUCAUCCAAAAACAUAGUCUAUUGACAUCCUGUUAUGGUAGUUGAGGAUUUCGCUCUUUCACUCAACUACCACCUCCAUUUCCCCUUUCCCCACCUCUUCCCAUUUUAGUUCUACUAUAAUCUUUAAAUGUCACAUAGCAAGACUUUCUGGUGAAAACAUCACAAAGCAAAAAUGUUUUGAUUAAUUUGGUAGUCAAUAUUUACAUAAUUAUGAAUAUAAAGAUUUUCAAAUGUCAAAUGAUUAGCAAUAUAUUUUUUCAAACCUACAAAUGCAAAACCAUGAAACGAUUUAUCAGUUCUAUUUUUUUCUCAAAAAAAAUCCCUGUCCUUUUUUUUUUUUCAUUUUGAAGUAUAGUUGACACACAGUGUUAUAUCAGGUAUACAGCAGAGUGAUAUGACCUGUCUAUACGUUAUGCUAUGCUCACCCCAGGUAAAGUCACCAUCUGGGCCUCUGUCCUCUGAUCUAAUCAGCACUGGCUGCACCCUAGGCUUUGAGGCAUGGUUGUCACUCUACGACUUCCUUUCAUCCUCUAGCAUAGCUCUGCCAUUUCCUGGGCUCUUUGUCUUCUUUCUCCGUUGCCUCUCUUAUUUUGAAAAUAGUAAUUUCCCCAGAAAGGGUACAUAAGGCGUGAAGUUUUGAGACCUUGAAUCUCUGAAAAUGUCUUUAUUCUACCUUCAUACUAUAUUGAUGGUUGGAUAUAAAAUUCUUAGUGAAACACAAUUUCACUUCAGAAUGUUGAAGGUAAUGUAAUACUCCACUGCAUUCUAGAAUUAAGUGAUGUUAUUGAGAAGCCUGACAUUAUUGUUUCCCCUUCUCUUUAUUUUUUAAGGUUGUGUCUGUUUGUUUCCCCCUCAUUUUUUAAUAAGAUUUUAUUUAUUUAUUAGAGACACAGAGAGAGAGAGACACAGGCAGAGGGAGAAGCAGGCCCCAUGCAGGGAGCCUGACGGGGGACUCGAUUCCAGGACUCCAGGAUCACGUCCUGGGCUGAAGAUGGUGCUAAACCGCUGAGCCACCCAGGCUGCCCUGUUUCCCCCCUCAUUUUGAUGUAGUAAGUUUCCUCCUCUUUGGAAGUUCUUAUGAUCUUUGUUCUCAGUGCUCUGUUCAUACUCAUGUCCUGGUUUUUUUCAUUCAUUGGGCUGGAGAUUCAUGCUCUUCAGAUCAGAUAAUUUUCCUUAGAAUUUGUAAUUUUUUCUUCUUCAUUCUUAUAGUCUAUGGAACUCUAGCUGAAAUGGAAUUUCUGUUUGAUAUUUGUUAAGUUUUCUGCCUUUCCCCCCUAUUUUCCUUCUCUUAGUCUUUUUGUUUGAAGUUCUGGAAGGUAUCGUCAAUGUUCGCCUGAUCUUUUUUGGCUUUUUUUUUUAUUUCAGUGGUUAUGUUUUUAAUUUUCUUUUUUCCUUUCCUUUUUUUUUUUUUUUUUUUUUAAGUAAUCUCUAUGCCCAAUAUGGAGCUUGUACUCAAGGCCCUGAGAUCAAAAGUUGCACACUCUACCACUGAGCCAGGCAGGUGCCUUACAUCUUUUAAUUUUCAAAUGCUUUUUUAGAAAGAUUCUUUUUUUUUCCCCUGCAUCCUGCAUCAUGUUUGUUUCGAGUUCCUUUUUCGUUUGUUUGUUACCUUUGAUGUUGUUUUGUUUUCUUAAUUGUCUGGUGAUUCUUGGGUCUCUGUUCUUUUUGUAAGAAAAAUCAACUAAGAAAGCAAAUUGAAAGCCCUUCCUGGGGUGAAAGGGAACAUGUCAAAUGGGAGACUUCUCUUACGGUGAUCAUUUGAUACUUGGACUUUUUAUUGGCUCUUUAUAAAAUCCCAGAGUGUAAA
rnacentral:lncRNA from 1 species